rfam:Myotis lucifugus cont2.13407, whole genome shotgun sequence.
GCCAGUGUUGUUCAGUGGAUAGAGCAUCAGCCUGUGGACUGAAGGGUCCUGGGUUCAAUUCCCAUCAAGGGCA